GUAAGUUUUGCAGUGGAAUCCCCCCUCAAAUCCAUAAAAACCAGUGUUAAAAGAAAAGAAUUACUUUUUAAGAAAACAUUAGGCACGGCCUAUAGAGACGUCACGAAGCCUGCUGCAGAGAGAAGAUGGCGGUCGCCGUGAGAGCUUUGCAGAAGCAGCUAGAAAAGGCCAAGGAGAGCCUCAAGAAUGUGGACGAGAAUAUCCACAAGCUCACCAAGCGGGACCUGAAUGACGUGAGGCCCACCCAAGCCAGAUUGCUGGCCCUUUCUGGUCCUGGUGGAGGUAGAGGACAAGGUAGUUUAUUGCUAAGGCAUGGAUUCUCAGAUAGUGGAGGAGGACGCCCAGCCAAACAAAGAGACCUUGGAAGGGAUAGUCAGUAGGCUGGGUGGAGAGAGUCGGACAAGAAGAGAAUCACGCCAGGAAGGUAACCCAGAAGACGAUGAUGUUAAAAAGCCAACACUGCAAUCUUCCGUUGUAGCUACCUUCAAAGAACGCACAUGUAAAGAACUUAUCCAGGAUCAAAACAUGGAUGAAAAGGGAAAGCAAAGGAACCGACGAAUAUUUGGCUUGUUGAUGGGCACUCUGAACGGCAAAAGAGACGCCAAGAAAUUGAACAAAAACUUGAAGCUCAGGCUGAAGAAGAGAGAAAGCAGGUUGAAAAUGAGAGGAGAGAACUGUAUGAGGAGAGACGUGCUAAACAGACAGAACUGCAGCUUCUGGAACAGAAGGUUGAGCUUGCACAGCCUCAAGAAGAAUGGAAUGAGCAUAAUGCCAAGAUAAUUGAGUAUAUAAGAACCAAGACAAAGCCCCAUUUGUUCUAUAUUCCUGGAAGAAUGUGUCCAGCUACCCAAAAGCUAAUAGAAGAGUCACAGAGAAAAAUGAAUGCUUUAUUUGAAGGUAGACGCAUCGAAUUUGCAGAACAAAUAAAUAAAAUGAAGGCUAGGUCUAGAAGACAAUCAAUGAAGGAAAAAGAGCAUCAGGUGGUACGUAAUGAAGAACAGAAAGCGGAACAAAAGGGUAAGGUGGCUCAGCGAGAGGAAGAGUUGGAGGAGACAGGUAAUCAGCACAAUGAGGUAGAAAUAGAGGAGGCAGGAGAGGAAGAGGAGAAGGAAGCAGGUGUAGUUCAUAGUGAUGCAGAGAAAGAACAGGAGGGGGAGGAACAAAAGCAGGAGACGGAGGCUAAGAUGGAGGAGGAGUCUGAGGUAAGAGAAGGUGAGAAGCAGCAGGAUAGUCAGCCAGAAGAAGUUAUGGAUGUGUUAGAGAUGGUUGAAAGUGUCAAAAAUGUAAUUGCUGAGCAGGAAGUAAUGGAAACUAAUCAAGUUGAAAGUAUAGAUCCUUCAGAAAAUGAAACUAGCAAGGAAUUGGAGCCAGAGAUGGAAUUUGAUGUUGAGCCAGAUAAAGAAUGUAAAUCUCUUCCUCCUGGAAAAGAGAAUAUUAGUUCUCUGGAAGUGGAAAAGGAGUCUGAGGAAAAAGAGGAAAAAGAAGAUAAAGAGCCUGAGCCCCAACCUGAGCCUGUGGCACAGCCUCAGCCCCCACCUCAGCCCCUGCCCCAGAGUCAGCCCCACUCUCAGCCCCAUUCUCAGCCCCAACCUGCACUCAGUCCCAGCCUCUCUGUCAGCCUGAGACUUUGCCAUUAGCUGUUUUGCAGCCUUCACCUCAAGUUAUUCAGGAGCAAGGAAAUCUACCUCCUGAGCGGAAGGAUUUUCCUGUAGAGUCUAUAAAACUCCCUGAGAUGCCUGUAGAGCCAGUCUUGACAGUACAUUCAGAAAAAACAAAAUUAAGACUAGGAGCAGAAGCAGAGGGCGAGCAAGAAAUAAAACAAGCAGGAGUAGAAGUCGAAGCAGCAGCAGCAGCAGCAGUUCCAGUAGCAGCUCUACUAGUAGCAGCAGUGUGAGCAGCUCCAGCAGUGGCAGCAGUAGUAGUCGAAGCAGCUCCAGCACAAGUGGGAGCAGCAGCAGCACUAGCAGUAACAGUGAGAGUAGGAGCCGAGAUAGAAAGCACAGAAGGAGCGUGGACAGGAAGUGAAGGGAAACAUCAGGACUAGAAAUAAGUCACAAGUCUUCAAAAGGUGGUAGUAGUAGAGAUACGAAAGGAUCAAAGGAUAAGAAUUCCGGAUCUGACAGAAAAAGGUCUAUAUCGGAGAGUAGACGAUCAGGCAAAAGAUCUUCAAGAAGUGAAAGAGAUCGAAAAUCAGACAGAAAAGACAAAGGGCGUUAAUGGAAGAAGCCAGGCCUAUUCUUUGCAGUAGAAGAUUUGAUGAGUAAAAGGAUUACCUUGUAAAGAGGAUGCUGCCUUAAGAAUUGCAUGUUGUAAAAAUUCUUUUUGGAAAAUACAGAUUGGUU